rnacentral:rRNA from 1 species
AGUGAACGUUGGCGGCGUGGAUUAGGCAUGCAAGUCGAGCGAGAACCGUAGCAAUACGGGGACAGCGGCGAAAGGGACAGUAAUGUGUAGGUACCUACCCCCGGGUUCGGGAUAGCUGCGGGAAACUGCAGGUAAUACCGAAUAAUGUCUCCGGACCAAAGGUGUGAUUCCACCUGGGGAGGGGCCUGCAUCCUAUUAGCUUGUUGGUGGGGUAACGGCCUACCAAGGCGACGAUGGGUAGCGGGUGUGAGAGCAUGACCCGCGUCAUUGGGACUGAGACACUGCCCAGACACCUACGGGUGGCUGCAGUCGAGAAUCUUCGGCAAUGGGCGCAAGCCUGACCGAGCGACGCCGCGUGCGGGAUGAAGGCCUUCGGGUUGUAAACCGCUGUCGUAGGGGAGGAAAUGCAGGAGGCUUCUCCCUCUUGUUUGACCUAUCCUAGGAGGAAGUACGGGCUAAGUUCGUGCCAGCAGCCGCCGUAA